CCUACGGGAGGCAGCAGUGGGGAAUAUUGCACAAUGGGGGAAACCCUGAUGCAGCGACGCCGCGUGAGUGAUGAAGUAUUUCGGUAUGUAAAGCUCUAUCAGCAGGGAAGAUAAUGACGGUACCUGACUAAGAAGCUCCGGCUAAAUACGUGCCAGCAGCCGCGGUAAUACGUAUGGAGCAAGCGUUAUCCGGAUUUACUGGGUGUAAAGGGAGCGCAGACGGCAGGGCAAGUCUGAUGUGAAAGUCCGGGGCCCAACCCCGGGACUGCAUUGGAAACUGUCCGGCUAGAGUGCAGGAGAGGUAAGUGGAAUUCCUAGUGGAGCGGGGAAAUGCGUAGAUAUUAGGAGGAACACCAGUGGCGAAGGCGGCUUACUGGACUGUAACUGACGUUGAGGCUCGAAAGCGUGGGGAGCAAACAGGAUUAGAUACCCCAGUAGUC
rnacentral:rRNA from 1 species